rnacentral:rRNA from 1 species
UACGUAGGGGGGCAAGCGUUGUCCGGAUUUAUUGGGCGUAAAGAGCGUGUAGGCGGUCAGGUAGGUCCGUUUGUGAAAACUCGAGGCUCAACCUCGAGACGCCGAUGGAAACCAUCUGACUAGAGUCCGGAAGAGGAGAGUGGAAUUCCUGGUGUAGCGGUGAAAUGCGCAGAUAUCAGGAAGAACACCCGUGGCUAAGGCGGCUCUCUAGUACGGUACUGACGCUGAGACGCGAAAGCGUGGGGAGCGAACAGG